GGGGAUAUAGCUCAGUUGGUAAAGUGCUUGUCUUGCAUACACAAAGCCCUGGGUUCAAUCCCCAGCACCACUG
rnacentral:tRNA from 1 species